rnacentral:antisense_RNA from 1 species
AGUACCUGAUGCGUAGUUAAUGCUCAACAAGGGUGAGCUACUGUUGAGAUACAUAACAUGUAAAUGUUGAAUCUGCAUCUCACUUGAAAUGGUUGGGUUUGGAGAAACGGAUAGUCAAGCUUAUUGGAAUUAUUGUUAAAAGUGUUCUUUCUUGGAACCAUCUGCCAAGCUGUGAGGAAACUCCAGAGCCAUAUGACAAGACCUGAUGGAGGAUAACUGAGGACUUUGGCCAACAACCCCAGCUGAGCUCCCAGUUGGAAUGUGAAUGAGGCCAUUUUGAGUGUUCCAGCCUAUUGGAGCCCUAGCCAACACACUCUACAAACUAGAACUGCCUGAUUGACCCGCAGAAUCAUAAGAAAUAAAGUAAUUUGAAGGCCUUCCCUGACUUAAAGUGGAUGCUGCUUUGGAAAGCACUGGAAAAAUGGAUCCUGUCUUUCUUAGCCAAGGACUGGUCUCUUUUCUCCAAUGUGUCCCUAACAGAGUGGUGAGGCUGGCUCUUCCCACCAGUACAGACAGAAUUUUCAAUUCACAAAUCAUCUGAAAAACAGGAAAUUUUGGAGAAACAUGCUUAUGAUAACAAACAAGGGAUCUAUCGUGUGGUAUAGAAGUUUACACAAAGAGGCAUCCGAUUUUAAGUUUUUUUUUUUGUUUGUUUUUGUUUUUUUUUUUACCGUUCUGGGCUUCUGGCUGCAUUCUAGGAAGAUCAUUCCUUAAAAGAAAUAGCCAUAUGGCUUAUAAGGAUUGUGUGUCCAGUGUUCAGAAGAGUGCCUGGCACAUCUAAAGUGCUGAGUUAAUGUUUAUUGGGUAAAUGAAUACAGUUUUGGGAAUCAUGAACAUUGAGAACCUAGGCCCAGACAAUUCUAAGGGACUAUAUCUUAAGACUAUGUGUCUUCUGCAGUUCUUUGCAUAGAGUCAACGUUGAAGGACAAGCAACUUCAAAUUUCCAAGCAACAAAAUUAUGUUCGGGUGGUUUUCUGAAAGCGAGAUCUUAAGAACCACCUGUAUCAGAAUCCCAUGAAGAGCUUGUUUAGUGUGCAAAUUUACAGAUUGUCCCCCCUCAGAAAUGCUCAUUUAGGAGUUCCUGUCCUUUGCGGGGACAUGGAUGAAACUGGAAACCAUCAUUCUCAGCAAACUAACACAGGAACAGAAAACCAAACACUGCAUGUUCUCACUCAAAAGUGGGAGUUGAACAAUGAGAACACAUGGACACAGGGAGGGGAACAUCACACACCAGGGCCUGUCGGGGGUGGGAGGUAAGGGGAGGGAGAGGAUUAGGACAAAUACCUAAUGCAUGUGGGGCUUAAAACCUAGAUGAUGGGUUGAUAGGUGCAGCAAACCACCAUGGACAUGUAUACCUAUGUAACAAACUUGCAUGUUCAGUACAUGUAUCCCAGAACUUAAAGUAAAAUAUAAAACAAUAAUAAAAA